rnacentral:rRNA from 1 species
UACGGGGGGGGCAAGCGUUGCUCGGAAUCACUGGGCAUAAAGCGCACGUAGGCGGCCUCGUAAGUGUCGGAUGAAAUCCCACGGCUCACCCGUGGAACGGUCCGGCAUACUGCGGGGCUCGAGGAUGGUAGAGGAGAGCGGAACUCUUGGUGGAGCGGUGAAAUGCGUAGAUAUCAAGAGGAACACCGGUGGCGAAGGCGGCUCUCUGGUCCAUGUCUGACGCUGAGGUGCGAAAGCCAGGGGAGCAAACGGG